ensembl:lncRNA
CUACGUCCCACACAGCAGUAGACGCCUACGCGGAUCCGCAUCCAAGUCGCGAAACCCGCGUGACUGUCACAUUCGUUUUGGCACCGCCCAGAGGAUCCGCUCCGCCUCCGGGCAGCGUGGUGAAUUCUACUGUCCCACACUGGACCCGUGUCGGAUCCGCUCCGCCUCCGGGCAGCGCGGUGAAUUCUACUGUCCGACACUGGAUCUGUGUCGGAUCCGCAGAAGUGGACGCGCCUUUACUGUAAAGGUUGAACUACAACCUCUUGGUGUGCUCUUGCUACGCCGAGACAAGAGUCAUAUCAGUGGAGAUUUUCUUUCCUGGGACACGGUUGCGCUGAACUAUCUGAGAUGCCUUUUCAUCUAAUUGAAUUUCAGGCAAGCGAGGACAUUGCUUUUGUGCCAGUUGACUGGUAUGAUGACGUGAUAUGAUCAUGGAUGUAGCACAAAAUUCUGGGCCCUGUACAUAGGCGGUCUCUGAGGGCCCCUCCCCACUUUAUUCAAGAUUCAAACAUUUUUUGAGGGCCCCUCUACACAUUAGGGCCCUAUAUACUUAGUACCCCUUUUCCCCCCAGUCCAACGCCCCUGGAUAUGAUGGUGUACUGGCCCAGCUGAACGUGUGAAACUGGCAGCUGCUAACGAGGAGAAGCAUGAGCCAAACUGGCCAAGAUAUGACGUAAAGGUCGUCAGAACUUGUGACAACUACAAAGACGCCAUCAGGCUAAUGAAUCAAUAUCAGACCGGCUGCAACGCCUCUGAGCUACAGUCUGAGGCAGAGCAGGAGGGAUAGCUGCCAGAGAAAUGAUUCAGGAAGCCAAUCCAUCGUUUUGGGGACUCUGAUGAGUGUGAAGAAGAGCCAGAAAAUUUGGCUGGUGUUUCAGUUGGAGCCUCAAGCCCAAACCAAUUACACUGGCAGACUCCACCAUCUCACGGAGUGCCAUGCAGCAGAGUCACUACUCCUCAACCUGGAGGAAACUGUCUAGCACCUGACCAUGGGGCCGGACCCCAACACCCUUCACCACCUCAACUCCCUGCACCUGCAUUUAACAUGAGGAGAGUUACUCAAGGAAUGGCAGUCCCUCCUCAACUCCCUCCACCUCCCGCACCGGCCCUCAACAUGAGGCGAACAGAGGAGCCCUCUUCAAGCCUGGCCUACAGACCAACAUGGCGAGGGGGAGGAAUGACCGAUACCAUUCCCUGCUCUGUGGCUGAGGUCCACAUCCUUAGCCUGCUGGAGACCAUUAAACAACAACAAGACCAGCUUGUGGCAAAGGUGAACUACCUCAGCAGCAGGCUGAACAGCAACCCGGGGCCAGAUGUUGAGAUGCCGGACAAUAUCCAGUUUCCCCUGGAACAAUUGGAGGCAGUGGAGGCAUUUGAAAUGUUUUUAAAGGAACCGUCAAAUGGCCCAGCUCGACAGAGCGUGGUGCUGUGAGGAAAAACACAGUGACACGGUCAGCCACGGACGCAGAGGUCACCAAGCACGCAAUCAGGUGGUUCAACCUGGCAGCGGAUCGGGCAACGAGGAGACGUGUCCCGCCUCAAGCCACACAAACGGAGUAAUAGGAGAAAUAAGCAAUAAACAAUAUUUUUAUUGAA